UAUCGAUGGCAUACUGUGAAGCAGAAUCAUUGUCCUUUGAACUCAGUGCAAUUUCUCACUGUGGUUUUCUCAAAAUGAAAAUAAAGCUGGUAUCUAAUGUGUUUUCACAUCACAAGUGCACAGUUAAUCUUGUAUAUGGAUAAGACACCUUUGCUAAAUGCUAGAAAAAACUGAUAGAACUAGCUUUUGGUGUUCUUGCGAUAUCUUUACUACCUUCCCUUUAUUUAAAAGACUUUGGAUCUAUAAUUUUACUCAAAUGUGGGAAUUGAGUGGGGAUUAAAACUCUAUUUUGGUGGUUUCAAUCAGGCCUCUAUGCACGAGCUAGAAUACUUUUUAAUAUUGGAGAUAUAAUAGUACCUUAAUGAGAGGACAUUAAUUAUGAUACUUGGAAAUCCAUGGUCGGUUUAUAGCUACAAUAAUCUAUGAGUCCUAUAAUUUUGAUGAUUCUAAUGGCUCUAUUGUUCAUUAGGGCCACAACAGACCUUUGCCUCUUGUAAAUAAAUCCCAUGUCUUUGGUUUCUGACAAUAGGAAUACUGCCAAUCCCAGUGUUUUGGGAGAGACCUGUGUUACUUUGGCAUCGCUUACCUGUAAUCUCUUUGGAUAAAAGUUAUCUAAUCUCUGGAUAAAAGGAAUGGUCUGGGAGAAUCAUAGUGAAUGGUUAAGCAGGUCACAAUCUGGACAGACAUUCUAACAUUCCAUAUUCCACAGUUCUUAUAUCCUUCUUACCUUAAAUACAAUGAAUUUCUGCCAUUGUACUCCUCAUGGGUUUCCAUCGGGACUAAUUUUUAGACAACAAGCUUAUUAAACAACUAGAAAUAAGUCCAACUGAUCAAAGUAACCAGAGGUUUUGUAAGGUACUUGGAGACGUAAUCAAUACGGAUCUAACACCCACUCAUAAUGCUUUGGAAUUGAACCGAAAGAUCAUUUUGAAGGAAAAUAAUACAUAAGGGGUACUGCUCUUACUGCUAAUGUCAAACCCCUUUUCAGGGAAAGAAAGGGAAAACUAAGAAAACAAAUUUGUCUCUGAAGAGAUGGAAAUGAUAGGUACAUUAGACCAUUAAAGCCUUCCUCUUGUCUCUGCCUUACUCAUUUACCAAGGCACUGCUCUUGUGCAUCUGUUGUCAUCCAUUAUUUAUGCAUCUUAUUCAUGCCGCUGCAAACAGUGCCAGUGGUAUGCAUUCUUUGUUACCGUGUUUUUUCAGUGUAAAUAAAUAAGCAGAAAUUCAGACCAUC